CAGAAAUCUCCUGAGGAAUUUGGGGGUGGGCAGGGGAAAGGCUCCUGAGGAUGGAAUAGGUUGUGUAUAAUUCAGUAUGUCAGAUAAUGCAGAGGUGGUAGAGAGAGUGAGUUCAGGGUGAUGACUGGGGGUGGCAGAAGAGACAAGUGUUUUCCCCUUCUUAGAGGAGCGAUCUGGGAAAGGAAACUAUAUAGUCUACCUUGGACAAUUUCUAAGAAGUGUCUAUCCUUUGUUUGGCAGGAUUUAUUCUCAAGGAGGAUUGGAUGAACUGGUGUUCUUGGAUCCUCAUUUUGACCUUCUACAUACUCAUAAUAAUGAUUAUUUUGAAAUUUUUCUCUAUUUAUAUUUCCUCUUUUUUUAUGAUACUGCUCUUUUCAGUGAAUUUCGCCAAUAUUGAGGACAUUAUAUUUUCGAUGCCUAUAUUUAGGUUAUUUUUUGUGUGGUUUCUUCCCCUUAUUCUUUCAAAAAUGCGCUCUGCUUCUCGGAAAUAAGGGGCCCUGUCCCAACCUUUCUGUGCAGUUCUGAACUUUGGCUUUGAGCACAAAGGCCCCUUGGGUUUGCAGGGGGAAACUUUGCGCUAUUCAGCAAACAGCCUGUUUCCCAGAGUUUGCCUUCUGAGCUGGAAUUGGAAGCUACCCUACUGAUUUGUUCUUAGACUGAGUCAGGGCUGAGGGUCUUCAGUGUGAUUUGCUUUCAUUAAGACCCUCUCACCAAACUUUCCCAGUCUAUCUGAGCUGCCCUGAACAUACUUUUCACCCCAAUGAGACUGACAUUUCUUGAACUCUUUUCCAGUCUAUGUUGAGCUGAAAAUUAAGUAAAUUCCAUUAGACUCUAUUCAGAGGCUUGGUUUCAUGUGAUUUUCCAGGGAAACUGGGAGAACUGGAGCAGCUCCCUGACUUUAUUCCACCAUCUUGGCUCCACCUCAGAAGUCUUUUUUUCCUCUUCUUAUUUAAAGUUUGAGUUCCAAAUUCUGUCCCUCUCUCCCUGUUCUUCCCUCCCCAAGAUUGUAAGCAGUCAGAAAUAGUUUAUACAUGUGCAACUAUGUAAGACACUUCCAUAUUAGUCAUUUUGUACAAGAAGACUCAAAUGAAAGAAAAAAAAGCAAUAAAGAGAUAAAUACCAUGUUUCACCCUGAA